GUUGAGGGGAAUGUUGUCUGGAUCGAGGAUAUUAUAUAUACAGACACACGUAUAAGAUAUAUACAUGUAUGUUGAUACAAGUGAUCAUAUAUAUAUAUAUAUGUAUAGAGAGUAUCCUCGGACCAGGCUUCAUCCCCCCCAAC
rnacentral:pre_miRNA from 1 species